rnacentral:rRNA from 1 species
AUUGAACGCUGGCGGCAGGCUUAACACAUGCAAGUCGAGCGGUAACAUUUCUAGCUUGCUAGAAGAUGACGAGCGGCGGACGGGUGAGUAAUGCUUGGGAAUAUGCCUUAUGGUGGGGGACAACAGUUGGAAACGACUGCUAAUACCGCAUAACGUCUACGGACCAAAGGGGGGGAUCUUCGGACCUCUCGCCAUUUGAUUAGCCCAAGUGAGAUUAGCUAGUUGGUAAGGUAAUGGCUUACCAAGGCGACGAUCUCUAGCUGGUUUGAGAGGAUGAUCAGCACACUGGGACUGAGACACGGCCCAGACUCCUACGGGAGGCAGCAGUGGGGAAUAUUGCACAAUGGGCGAAAGCCUGAUGCAGCCAUGCCGCGUGUGUGAAGAAGGCCUUCGGGUUGUAAAGCACUUUCUGUUGUGAGGAAGACGUUGGCGUUAAUAGCUUCAACGUUUGACGUUAGCAACAGAAGAAGCACCGGCUAACUCCGUGCCAGCAGCCGCGGUAAUACGGAGGGUGCGAGCGUUAAUCGGAAUUACUGGGCGUAAAGCGCAUGCAGGUGGUUUGUUAAGCAAGAUGUGAAGGCCCGGGGCUCAACCUCGGAACAGCAUUUUGAACUGGCAGACUAGAGUACUGUAGAGGGGGGUAGAAUUUCA